rnacentral:rRNA from 2 species
AGACCCGAAACCCGGUGAUCUAGCCAUGGGCAGGUUGAAGGUUGGGUAACACUAACUGGAGGACCGAACCGACUAAUGUUGAAAAAUUAGCGGAUGACCUGUGGCUGGGGGUGAAAGGCCAAUCAAACCGGGAGAUAGCUGGUUCUCCCCGAAAGCUAUUUAGGUAGCGCCUCGUGAAUUCAUCUCCGGGGGUAGAGCACUGUUUCGGCUAGGGGGCCAUCCCGGCUUACCAACCCGAUGCAAACUGCGAAUACCGGAGAAUGUUAUCACGGGAGACACACGGCGGGUGCUAACGUCCGUCGUGAAGAGGGAAACAACCCAGACCGCCAGCUAAGGUCCCAAAGUCAUGGUUAAGUGGGAAACGAUGUGGGAAGGCCCAGACAGCCAGGAUGUUGGCUUAGAAGCAGCCAUCAUUUAAAGAAAGCGUAAUAGCUCACUGGUCGAGUCGGCCUGCGCGGAAGAUGUAACGGGGCUAAACCAUGCACCGAAGCUGCGGCAGCGAACGUAUCACCCAAGACAACUUUGCGGAGUUGACGAUUGACGGAGCGAAGCGACGUCAAAGCGUUCAUUAAAGUCGAGUUGGCUUAGGGAUACGUUCGUUGGGUAGGGGAGCGUUCUGUAAGCCUGUGAAGGUAUGCUGUGAGGC